AUAAAAAAUUUUUAUAGUUUAUAAUUUUAUUAUAAAUUUAUUUUACAUACAAAUUUUAGUAUAAAAUUUAGAUUAUUUAAAUAAUAAUAAUUUUAUUGUAGUAAUUAAUUUUAAAUAUUUAAGAAAUUAUAAUUUAGUAAUAUAUAAAUAAAUAACAAAUUUUGUGCCAGCAGUUGCGGUUAUACAAAUAUUUAAUUAAAAUUUUUCAGUAAAUAAUAAAUAAAAAUUAAAUAAAUUUAAAAUAAAAAUUAAAUUAUUAAGUGAAAUUUUAAUUUAAUAAAAAUUUAUAAAAAAAAUUAUGAUUUAAUAAAUUUAUAAAAAAACUAGGAUUAGAUACCCUAUUAUUAAAAUUUAAUUAUAAAUACUAAAAUAGUAGAUAAUAAUUUAUUGAAACUUAAAUAAUUUGGCGGUAUUUUAGUUCAUUUAGAGGAAUCUGUCUAAUAAUUGAUAAUCCACGAUUAAAUUUACUUAAUUUAUAAUUUUAUAUAUCGUUGUUAAAAAAAUAUUUUAAAAUAAAAAUAAUAUUUAAAAAUUAAAAAAAAAAUUAAUUCAGAUCCAAGAUGUAGAAUAUAAUUAAGAAUAUGAUGGAUUACAAUAAAAUUAUUUAAAUGAAUUUAUAUUUUGUAAUAAAAUAAUGAAGGUGGAUUUAAAUGUAAAUUUAUUUAAUAUAAUAAAUUGAUUAAAAAUUAAAAUAUGUACAUAUUGCCCGUCGCUUUCAUUUAAAAAUUGGAAUAAGUCGUAACAAAGUAGAAGUACUGGAAAGUGUUUCUAGAAAGA
rnacentral:ncRNA from 1 species